CAACCCGUCUCUGUUGCAAAAGAGUGGGAAGAUUUCCAAGUAGAGGUGACAAGCCUAUCGAACUUAGAGAUAGCUGGUUGUUCAGGAAAAGAGUCCAAGCUCUACCUUAAGUUUUUUGAUUUAUCUAAACAAACCCCUAGACUUAAGAGCUAUUCAAGUAAGGCACAGCUUACUUGAAACAGGAUACAACCUCCUACAUUGGGUAAACAAGAACAAUUUAAACAAAGUGGGCCUAAAAGCAGCCAUCUUACAAAAAGCGUUAAAGCUUAACUUACACACACUCAUAAUUCCGAUAGUUCUUAUUAACCCCUCAUUGUUACUGAACUAUUUUAUAAUCUUAUAAAAAUUAUUAUGCUAGAACUAGUAACAUGAAAUUACCUUUCUCCUUAAUGUAAGCUUCAACCAUAAUGGAUUAUCCACUGGUAUUUAACGUAACUGUCUUCAUUAUAGCAACAUACUACUAGAAAACCCUAUAACCACUAACGUUAACCUCACACUAGAGCAUUACAGGAAAGAUUAAAAGAAAGAGAAGGAACUCGGCAAACCCCCAGCCCCGCCUGUUUACCAAAAACAUCGCCUCUUGAUUAACAUAAGAGGUCCAGCCUGCCCAGUGACAUAGUUUAACGGCCGCGGUACCCUAACCGUGCGAAGGUAGCAUAAUCACUUGUUCUCUAAAUAGGGACUAGUAUCAAUGGCAUCACGAGGGCUACACUGUCUCCUCUCUCCAAUCAGUGAAACUGAUCUCCCCGUGAAGAAGCGGGGAUUUAAAUAUAAGACGAGAAGACCCCAUGGAGCUUUAAACUUAAUAUACACCUCUAUUUACCUACACCAACUAACCCUAAAGUCUGUGUAUUAGUUUUAGGUUGGGGGGACCGCGGAGUAUAACUCAACCUCCACGACAAACGGGCCAACGCCCUUAUCCAUGAAACACAAUUCUAAGAAUCAAUAACCUGAUGUUUUAUGACCCGACAAGUCGAUCAACGAACCAAGUUACCCUGGGGAUAACAGCGCAAUCUA
rnacentral:rRNA from 1 species